rnacentral:rRNA from 1 species
UACGGGGGGGGCAAGCGUUGUUCGGAAUUACUGGGCGUAAAGGGCUCGUAGGUGGCCAACUAAGUCAGACGUGAAAUCCCUCGGCUUAACCGGGGAACUGCGUCUGAUACUGGAUGGCUUGAGGUUGGGAGAGGGAUGCGGAAUUCCAGGUGUAGCGGUGAAAUGCGUAGAUAUCUGGAGGAACACCGGUGGCGAAGGCGGCAUCCUGGACCAAUAUUGACGCUGAGGAGCGAAAGCCAGGGGAGCAAACGGG